rnacentral:rRNA from 1 species
UAGGGAAUCUUCCACAAUGGACGCAAGUCUGAUGGAGCAACGCCGCGUGAGUGAAGAAGGGUUUCGGCUCGUAAAGCUCUGUUGUUAAAGAAGAACGUGGGUAAGAGUAACUGUUUACCCAGUGACGGUAUUUAACCAGAAAGUCACGGCUAACUACGUGCCAA